rnacentral:pre_miRNA from 1 species
AGCACAAUUGCUAGAUCAUAUGGUAAGAGUAUGUUUAGUUUUGAAAGAACCUGCGAAACUGUCUUCCAAAGUAGCUGUACCAUUUUGCAUUUCUACCAGCAGU